CUGCAGCCCGGCCUGAGUGGAAAUCCUUUUUUGUGGCUGGAAAAGCUUUGGCAAAAAGAUUGGGAACGGAGGACGGAUAAAGC
rnacentral:misc_RNA from 1 species